AAACCAUGGUUAGGUCACCUAAUGGCAGGAAAAACUCUGCCUGAAGAAGAAUAAGAAAACAUCUCUGGAAGACAGCUUGAUGUGCUGUGGGACCUGGGACUCGGAAAUACCUUAAUUAAGCUGAAACUGAUACUGUGUCAUGGUGGGGUAGAGGAGUGGGACCUAAAUAACCUGACCUCUGAGAAGAAUAUCCAGUGCAUCGUUAGGAUGCUUUGUCUGACUUCUUGUGGUACUCAGCAGGACCUCUGCAUCAUCACAGAACAAAUCUGCGGCUUCACAGACACAUCUUGAGUAAUCCUGACUGAGUUGUUUGGGGAGAAAGCUGAAAUGCUUGUAGUUUGUCCACGUUGUGAAGAGCUCCUGAGGAAUGUCGGAAGAAAACUGUCCUAAUGGCUGUCUGUUGUGGGUGACCCAGUUGAACAAACAAUUGGAUGGAUGGCUGCUCCUAGCUGAAGGGCUCUCACAGGGGAGCAGGAAUGGCACUCUGCAUUGGCUGCUGGGGCUUCUGCUCCCAGCCCUCAUCGGUCCGUUCUUGAAUCAUUAUGAUUUGCAGAGCAUCAUUUGAAAGGAAUCUGAAAUAGGUUUUCACACGUUGAUCACAUCCCCGAGAGCUUUGUAUGUCUCUGCAUCAGUUGGGUGUUUUUAAAAAACACAGAAGCUCCACAGGUCUGUCAC
rnacentral:lncRNA from 1 species